CAAGUUCAUUGAUAAUAAAGGUAAUAAUUAAUAAAUACUAAUUCUCACUCCUCCCUCUCCAUGAUCUCAUGUUUUGGUUCCUUAACCUAUCCUGAAGGCUUUAUUGCAGUACAUCAUAGAGAACUUCACACUAGCAGUCUUAAAUAAUUAUGAGAAGUAAUAUUUAAUCCUCCUUGCAUCUUGUAUCGAAUGCUGCAGAAUAACCUAAUGAAUGGGAGAAUAUGGUGGCAAGGGAGGCCAUUUUCCGAACUUGGGGUGGUGGAAGUACUUCGGAGGAAUCUUGGGGUAAGGAGGAAGCUUAGGAAGAGGAGGGCAUGGCUUCUUAUGAAAUGGAGGGAUCUUUGGGAUUGGAGGCAGUGGCUUAUAAAUUGGAACUGGAGGUGGUAAAGGCUUGUAGAUGGGAAUAGGAGGUGGUAGAGGCUUGAAGAUUGGUGGUUUUGGUUUUGGCUUGUAAAUUGGCACUGGAGGUGGCUUGAAGAUUGGUGGCUUUGGCUUAGGCUUGUAGAUGGGAAUAGGAGGUGGCAGAGGCUUGAAGAUUGGUGGUUUUGGUUUUGGCUUGUAAAUUGGCAAUGGAGGUGGCUUGAAGAUUGGUGGCUUUGGCUUGUAGAUCGGAACAUGAGGUAGAGGUGGCUUCUUGUAGAUUGGAGGGAAGACCUUUGGCGGGAGUGGAGGAUAGACCUUAGGUGGGAAUAGGUAAGGAUGGUGAAAGUUUUUCAAUGGUGGAAGUUUCCAUGUAGGCAAUGGAAGCGGUUUAGUUAUCGGUGGAUGAGGCCACAAGAAUGCAGAAGUGCAAGUAACAGGUGAAAAUUUCAGUUUCCCUGCGAGCCCGAAUGUGUG
rnacentral:lncRNA from 1 species